AAUUAAUUAUUUAAUAUAUAGAAUAAGAAAUUAGACACAAUUAUCACUUUGAUUUACAUAGAUAUUACUUUAUUUAAAGAAAAAUUCAUAAAUCAAAGUUCAUAUGCUUUUCUCUAUGAGAAAUUGAAUGAAUUUAUCAAAGAGUUUAAGAGGAACUUAUUAGCAGUAUUUGAAUGUCAACCUUCUCUCUUCUAAAAGAUGAUAGUUGUUUGCAGAAAGAACACAAUGACCAACAUAGAGUACAUGCAAAAGUCACGAUCAAAAUGGCUAAUAUCGAGGAGCAUAUCAUCAUUCAAUAUGCUAGCAUAGAAUCAUACACAUUAUACACUGUAAAUCAAUUACUGAAAAAUAUUGAUAUCAAAAUAAUCAUUGUAUUAAAUAUUUUUUCUAAAUAAAACAAAUAUCGGUAACAGA